GAAUGAUGAUUUCAUUCGUCUUGUUUAAUUUAGCUUAGCUAACUUGAGUCUGGUAAAAGAGUCGGGAAAUCAAAUGGCCUAGCCCCAUUACUACGCUGUUCACACACCUGCAUCUUCGCUAUUCUCCACUUUCCCUCUUCAGUCACCCUGAGCUUCCGCUGCCUCCGUUCUUGCUUCAUUUUCAAAACCCGCCACCAACAACUGUCCAAAAGCAAAGCCAGAACGAAACCCAAGACUCGUCUGAUCUUUUGGACGGACGCUUAACGGAUUUAAUCGGAGCCAUGACCUACUCCGUUCCCUCGUAUUUGGAGGAGACUCGCUCGCAAACCGAGGAUCUGAUCCAGCAAAGCCAAACCAGUGAUUUCAAUCUCGAGAUAUUGGCGCAAGAAUGGCUCUCCGCCGUUCAAGUCCGUCAAGAUCGGCUCACGCAAGAGUUGGCGGAUUUGUACGCCCAAUUCGUGGGACACGUGGAUCAAAUCAGGACCAUCAAGGAUUACCAAGAGGAGAAAUCCAAAUUGGCCAUGAGCGAGUUGGAGAGACAUCAGACUGAACUGAGUCAGUUGAAUGUGGUCAAGGAUGAGAAGGUUCGAGAGAUCCAACAAUUGGAGCACCAACUCGUUCUCACUAAUGCCAAGAUUGACGAGGUGGGCGAGAAGGCGCUGGAGGCGGUGGAAGUGGCCAAGAAGUUCCCUCAUCUGCAUGCUCAAAAGAACUUGUUCUAUCACGUCAGUCGGAUUCAUUGGGACAAAGUGAGCCAGAAUGAACAUUUGGUCAAGGGCUUUGCCAUCAAUCCCAUCAAGAACGACGUGUCCACGUUCGUGUUGGACCAGAGGGAGCUGACCGAUUCACGAAAUCAUAACAUCCUCUGGGACUACAUUGGUGCAGGCGUGUCCUCCGAGUGGAAGAGGCUUUGAGGGAGGCCGUCCGUCCGUCGUUUGAAUGUGUAGAUAGAUGUAAUGGGGAAGUCAAUCGAUUGACGCAAUGAAGGAUGAAUUUGGUGCCCAAGGAAUUCUCUUUCAUCUAUCUUUCCAUCUAAUGGCGAUGCAAUAGAAGUCUGAGAGUGG